rnacentral:rRNA from 1 species
UAACACAUGCAAGUCGUGGGAGAAGCCGGCCCUUCGGCGGCCGGUGGAGACCGGCGGAUGGGUGAGUAACGCGUAGGCAACCUGCCUGCAGGGCGGGGAUAACAUCUCGAAAGGGGGGCUAAUACCCGAUGAUGCAGCGGUCCCGCAUGGGAACAGUUGUUAAAGGCUUCGGCCACCUGCAGAUGGGCCUGCGUGCCAUUAGCUAGUUGGUGGGGUAACGAGCCCACCAAGGCGAUGAUGGCUAGGGGGUCUGAGAGGAUGAUCCCCCACACUGGGACUGAGACACGGCCCAGACUCCUACGGGAGGCAGCAGUGAGGAAUCUUGCGCAAUGGGGGCAACCCUGACGCAGCCACGCC